GUACUUCUUGGGAUUCUCCAAAUACUCCAUCAGGGUAGCCUCUCCCCAGGUGAUACCUAAACAAGAAGAGAUGUGCCGGUAAGGCUCACACUCCUUUUAAAGCGUCCACCACAGGUCACACCCAUGGAACGUGCUUCAGUGAUUUCACCGUCCCCCUCUUACCUUUGUUCUUGUUGGCAUCCGUGUAAGAAAAUCCAGGGGCCUGACCUGUCUUUCGCCCAAAGAGACCAUGGAGAUUUGGCCCAGUCUUGUGCUUGCCUCCCUUUUCCACAGUAUGGCACUGGGCACA